AUUGAACGCUGGCGGCAGGCCUAACACAUGCAAGUCGAACGAGUGGCCGACGGGUGAGUCAUGUCUGGGAAACUGCCUGAUGGCGGGGGAUACCUACUGGCAACGGUAGCUAAUACCGCAUACCAUCGGAUGUGCCCAGAUGGGUGUAGCUAGUAGGUGGGUGAAAGGCUCACCUAGGACACGAUCCCUAGCUGGUCUGAGAGGAUGACCAGCCACACUGGAACUGAGACACGGUCCAGACUCCUACGGGAGGCAGCAGUGGGGAAUAUUGCACAAUGGGCGCAAGCCUGAUGCAGCCAUGCCGCGUGUAUGAAGAAGGCCUUCGGGUUGUAAAGUACUUUCAGCGGGGAGGCGUUACCCGCAGAAGAAGCACCGGCUAACUCCGUGCCAGCAGCCGCGGUAAUUC
rnacentral:rRNA from 1 species